rnacentral:rRNA from 1 species
UUUAAUUGAAGAGUUUGAUCAUGGCUCAGAUUGAACGCUGGCGGCAGGCCUAACACAUGCAAGUCGAACGGUAGCAGGAUGUGCUUGCACAUCGCUGACGAGUGGCGGACGGGUGAGUAAUGCUUGGGAACUUGCCUUUGCGAGGGGGAUAACAGUUGGAAACGACUGCUAAUACCGCAUAAUGU